rnacentral:tRNA from 1 species
GCCUGGAUGGCUCAGUCAGUUGGGUGUCCGACUUCGGCUCACCAUUUGUGAGUUCGAGCCCCACUUCGGGCU